CAAGGAUACCAGGGAACAGAAAGCAGACUUGGGAGAUAUGCGGGGGUUUGGAUCAUGGGUGUGCGUGGUGGAAAGUGUUCAACAGUUCUCAAUCGCGUCUGGUGAAGUAAUUCUGAAGAAAAAAAAAAAAACUACUAUAGCAAUGCUACAUAGACAUAAACAUCUCAUCUGAAGUGCUGGAGAUCAAACCCAGGGCUCUGCGCAUGACAGCCCAGUGUUCCACCUCUGAGCUAUACCUCAACCUGCAAAGAUGCACCGCAUUCAGCUGCAAGUAAAACAGAACAUUGAAGUACAAUUUAAUAGAAGUAUUUCAGAAACCAGCUGCUGGAGUACGGGCUUCUGGAGUCCACGAGUUCCUUAAUUACACUACGUUACAGAAAGACUCAAUCCUUUCCAAGUUUCUCCCACCUGCCAAAUUUUUACAGCCAUGCAACCUCAUAAAAACAGAGGUCAUUACUGAUUAUUCCAGCUCCUCUGAGUAACUUGUGUGCUGAUGCGUGAGCCUUGACACGUUCAAUGAAAUGUUUUGGGAUCUAGAAAAAAAGCAACAGCAACCAAAGAACAGAAGAACAGUACUGCAGAUAGGUAUUAAAAAGUUAAUUAUUUACAAAUUUUAAAAAUAAUUCUUGAGUGAGA